GCUAAAGGCAUAGUCAAGGUUAAUGCUCCUUUUUCUUUAUCCCAAAUCAGAUAGCAUUUAGGCUCUUUUUCAUCAAAUAUAAAAAUCCAGCCCAGUUCAUGACUCGUUUGGCAGCAACCCUGAGACACUUUACAGCCCUAGACCCUAAAAGGUCAAAAGGCCGUCUUAUUCUCAAUAUACAUUUUAUUAGCCAAUCUGCUCCCGACAUUAAAUAAAACUCCAAAAAUUAAAUUCCGGCCCUCAAACCCCACAACAGGAUUUAAUUAACCUCACCUUCAAGGUGUACAAUAAUAGAAAAAAGUUGCAAUUCCUUGCCUCCACUGUGAGACAAACCCCAGCCACAUCUCCAGCACACAAGAACUUCCAAACACCUGAACCGCAGCAGCCAGGCGUUCCUCCAGAACCUCCUCCCACAGGAGCUUGCUACACGUGCCGGAAAUCUGGCCACUGGGCCAAGGAAUGCCCGCAGCCCAGGAUUCCUCCUAAGCCGCGUCCCAUCUCUGUGGGACCCCACUGAAAAUCGGACUGUUCAACUCACCUGGCAGCCACUCCCAGAGCCCCUGGAACUCUGGCCCAAGGCUCUCUGACUGACUCCUUCCCAGAUCUUCUCGGCUUAGCGGCUGAAGACUGACACUGCCCGAUCGCCUCGGAAGCCCCCUAGACCAUCACGGACGCCGAGCUUCCUCCGGUAACUCUCACAGUGGAAGGCUAAAGUGUUAUGUAUGGCAAGAAAAGGCAGGGAGAAUUCAAGGCAGGGAGAAUUACAGAAGAGAGCGGCUUUGCUCACAGGUGUGGCCAAUGAAGACUUCACAGCCUAUUGGACCUAAGCUUCUUUCUUGAAGAAUUUGAGAUGAAUUGCUGAAGGACUUCUCUUACUGAAUUCUCCUCAGGGGAGUCUUAAUUCCAGGGGUGAGAGUACCAGAAGACAAAAGAGAAAACAAAACAAGAAAUCUUGCCCUUAGCAUGGAAGAGGAGGGAGAAGAAAGAGAAGGAAAGGCUGUGUCAGGAAGUCCAGAGCACACCUGAAUGCAGAUCAGUUGCUAUGAGACCAGGCCAAAAAGUUCAGGCCAGACAAAUCCCACAGAACCAAGGAGAUUCCAGCUGGGCACGGUGGCUCACGCCUGUAAUCCCAGCACUUUGGGAGGCCGAGACGGGUGGAUCACCUGAGGUCAGGAGUUCAAGACCAGCCUGGCCAACAUGGCGAGACCCUGUCUCUACUAAAAAUACAAAAAUUAGCUGGGCAUGGUGGCAGGUGCCUGUAAUCCCAGCUACUCGGGAGGUUGAGGCAGGAAAAU